rnacentral:lncRNA from 1 species
AGGCAGACAAGCCUGGGAAACCAGAAGAGACUGCUCUCUGCACAAACAUCUCGGACGCCAGAGGAAAACACCAAAGGCCAUCUGGAACCCUGGUGCACUGAAGCUCCCAGAAGGGGGGCGCAUAUCUUCCUGGUUGCUGCCGCUGCAGAGAGCCCGUGGGCAGCACCCCACGAGCGAUCUUGGGCCUCGGGACCACAGGUAAGACCAACUUUUCUGCUGCAAGUGACCUGCCUGGUGAUCUCAUGAAACAGGCCCACAGGAACAGCUGAAGACCUGUAGAGAGGAAAAACUACACGCCCAAAAGCAGAACACUCUGUCCCCAUAACAGGCUGAAAGAAAACCGGAAAACAGGUCUACAGCACUCCUGACACACAGGCUUAUAGGACAGUCUAGCCACUGUCAGAAAUAGCAGAACAAAGCAACACUAGAGAUAAUCUGAUGGAGAGAGGCAAGCGCAGGAACCCAAGCAACAGAAACCAAGACUACAUGGCACCAUCGGAGCCCAAUAUUCCCAUCAAAACAAACAUGGAA